GAGAGAGAGAGAGAGAGAGAGGGGUGAGAAGUCUUUUGGACGAGAAGGGAGCUGCUCUGAUAGAGUACGAGCGAGAGAAAGAAGAGGAAAGGAGGACGAGAGGAAGAGAGAGCGCGGUAAUAGCGAGCCAGAGAAGGAGGUUCGAGGCGAUGGAACGCCGGAAGGCGAUGACAUGGGCAAGAGUGGGGAAAUCGGCGCAGGCGGUCGCGGCGCAUGGGCUGCUCUUCUGCUUCACACUUUUCUUGGCCCUCAAGAUCGACGGUCGCUUCUCCUAUUCUUGGUGUAUGCAGGAUUAGUUUUUGUCCCUCUUUGGUUGUUUCAUGCUGUUGUUGCGCGUGGAAGGUUCUCCUUACCUGCUCCAUCAUUACCUCAUGAUCGUCAUUGGGCACCUUGCCAUUCUAUCGUUGCAACGCCCUUGUUAAUUGCAUUUGAGCUGCUUCUUUGUAUUUACCUCCAGAACAUCAGUAAUCAUGCGGAUCCAGCUAUUAACUUGAAGAUUGUUUUUCUGCCCCUUUUGGCCUUUGAAGUAAUCAUUCUUGUAGACAAUUUCAGAAUGUGUAGGGCUUUAAUGCCAGGAGAUGAGGAAAGCAUGAGUGAUGAAGCUAUAUGGGAGACACUUCCUCACUUUUGGGUUGCAAUCUCCAUGGUGUUCCUGAUAGCUGCUACAACAUUCACACUUCUUAAGCUAAGUGGUGAUGUAGGUGCUUUGGGCUGGUGGGAUCUAUUUGUAAAUUUUGGAAUUGCAGAGUGCUUUGCUUUUCUCGUUUGCACAAAGUGGUCUAAUCCAAUGAUUCAUAGACAGUCUCAUCAUGGAGAAGCAAGCACAUCCUCCACAGCAAUUAGAUAUCGUGAUUGGAAUAAUGGUCUUGUGCUUCCUUCGAUUGAGGAUCAUGACCAGGAUAGGUUAUGUGGUCUGCAAGACAUAGGAGGCCAUAUAAUGAAAAUUCCACUUGUAGUUUUCCAGAUUUUGCUAUGUAUGCGCUUAGAGGGAACACCAGAUGGUGCCCGAUAUAUUCCAAUUUUGGUUCUUUUCCUGCCAAUAUUUCUUUUACAAGGUGCCGGCGUCCUAUUUGCUGCAUCAAGAUUGGUGGAGAAGCUUGUUCUUUUACUACGUAGUGGAUCAAUUAGUAAUAGAUAUCUGACAAUUUCUUCAAGAGCUUAUGAUUGCUUUGCAUUCCUACAUCAUGGUUCAAGAUUGCUGGGUUGGUGGUCGAUUGAUGAAGGUAGCAAAGAAGAGCAAGCUCGCUUAUUUCAUUCUGAAGCCACCGGGUAUAACACUUUUUGUGGUUUCCCACCUGAGGUGGUGAAGAAAAUGCCUAAGAAGGAUCUUGCUGAAGAGGUUUGGAGGCUACAAGCAGCUUUGGGAGAACAAACUGAAAUCACAAAGUACAGCCAGCAAGAGUAUGAAAGGCUUCAAAAUGUUCGAUGUGCCAGUAUCCGAGCCCGAAUUGGUCGAUCGGCAGUAUGAUUCAAUAAUGCCCCCGUACUGUUCCAUAUUGAGCCCAAACAAACAUAAAGAGAGGAUGGAGAGAGAAUAGGGGAGGGAAGGAGAGGGGGAGAGAGAGAGGGCCUUCGGAGAACAUUGGAGGCCAGUUGAGCUUGCUGCACCACAGUUGAGCUCGGUGGAGAUCGAAGGGCGGAGGGAGAGAGGGAGAGGGAGAGGGAGAGGAGGCCACUGAAGGCCUCCAGAUGGCCGACGAGGUUGCCAUGCUGUCGUUGAGGUCGAUGAAGGCUGGAGGAGGGGCUUCACCAUCUUCCCGAUGGAAACAGAGGAAAAGAUCCUAUGCAGGGUUUGCUUUGAGGGAGAAAUAUGCACGGUCCUCCUUCCUUGCCGGCACCGUACUCUUUGCAAGCAUUGCUCUGAGAAAUGUAAGAAAUGUCCUAUAUGCCGUGUCUCCAUCGAGGAACGCAUGCCUGUAUAUGAUGUUUAAGCUUGACUAACCUCUCAAAAGAAGAUGAAUUGUACAGGUUUGACUUCUUUUACAGCUGUGUGUGUGUGCGUGUGCGCGUGCGUUUCCUGUAUAUCAUGUAUAUUUAAACAUUGGAAAAUGAUUUUCAAUCCAACUCAUUGCUGAAUGAUGCAUCCAUGCAGCUUAAAGUUGCUUGUAAUAUCUGACAACAGCAUUUAGGUGGCUGAUGAAAUUCACGAUGACUGUUCCAGUUGCUUUUCUUUCCAUGUACAUACAUUUUUGCUUAUGCUAUAAAUUUAAAAUUAUAGUCACUAUUUUUUUUUUUUUGGGUAUUUGUAAAACAAUGAUGAUGCUGUCCAAUCUAAUGGAGGCUUAAUGUGUGCCUUCUUAGCAAGGAACUGAAGUAUUUUGUGAUCCAAAUGACUUUCCUGUUUUCUUUUUCUUUUUAGGCUUGAAGGUAUCAUAAGACCAAGAACAACCCCCCUCCCCUAGAGAUGUUAAAGCAAUUUUGCAAAGCUGUGCUGUGAAUUAGAAUAGCAAUUUGAUAUUGAUGCAUAUAGGAUAAUCAUUUACUCU